rnacentral:rRNA from 1 species
AUUGAACGCUGGCGGCAGGCCUAACACAUGCAAGUCGAGCGGAUGAAGGGAGCUUGCUCCUGGAUUCAGCGGCGGACGGGUGAGUAAUGCCUAGGAAUCUGCCUGUUAGUGUGGUAUAACGUCCGGAAACGGGCGCUAAUACCGCAUACGUCCUUAGGGAGAAAGUGUGGGAUCUUCGGACCUUACGCUAUCAGAUGAUCCUAGGUCGGAUUAGCUAGUUGGUGGGGUAAAGGCCUACCAAGGCGACGAUCCGUAACUGGUCUGAGAGGAUGAUCAGUCACACUGGAACUGAGACACGGUCCAGACUCCUACGGGAGGCAGCAGUGGGGAAUAUUGGACAAUGGGCGAAAGCCUGAUCCAGCCAUGCCGCGUGUGUGAAGAAGGUCUUCGGAUUGUAAAGCACUUUAAGUUGGGAGGAAAAGCAGUAAGUUAAUACCUUGCUGUUUUGACGUUACCAACAGAAUAAGCACCGGCUAACUUCGUG